GACGAACGCUGGCGGCGUGCUUAACACAUGCAAGUCGAACGGUGAAGCGCCUUCCUUUUUGGUGGGUGUGGAUGAGUGGCGAACGGGUGAGUAACACGUGAGUAACCUGCCCCCUUCUUCUGGAUAACCGCAUGAAAGUGUGGCUAAUACGGGAUAUUCUGGGUCUGUCGCAUGAUGGGUCUGGGAAAGAUAUUGUUUCGGUGGGGGAUGGGCUCGCGGCCUAUCAGCUUGUUGGUGGGGUGAUGGCCUACCAAGGCGGUGACGGGUAGCCGGCCUGAGAGGGUGGACGGUCACACUGGGGCUGAGACACGGCCCAGACUCCUACGGGAGGCAGCAGUGGGGAAUAUUGCACAAUGGGCGCAAGCCUGAUGCAGCGACGCCACGUGAGGGAUGGAGGCCUUCGGGUUGUGAACCUCUUUCGCCAGUGAAGCAGGCCUGCCUCGUUUGUGGGUGGGUUGACGGUAGCUGGAUAAGAAGCGCCGGCUAACUACGUG
rnacentral:rRNA from 1 species